ACGUAUGUUCCAAGCGUUAUCCGGAUUUAUUGGGCGUAAAGCGAGCGCAGACGGUUAUUUAAGUCUGAAGUGAAAGCCCUCAGCUCAACUGAGGAAUUGCUUUGGAAACUGGAUGACUUGAGUGCAGUAGAGGAAAGUGGAACUCCAUGUGUAGCGGUGAAAUGCGUAGAUAUAUGGAAGAACACCAGUGGCGAAGGCGGCUUUCUGGACUGUAACUGACGUUGAGGCUCGAAAGUGUGGGUAGCAAACAG
rnacentral:rRNA from 1 species